UCUCCUACGGGACGCAGCAGUGGGGGAUAUUGCACAAUGGGGGAAACCCUGAUGCAGCGACGCCGCGUGAGUGAAGAAGUACUUCGGUAUGUAAAGCUCUAUCAGCAGGGAAGAAAAAAGACGGUACCUGACCAAGAAGCCCCGGCUAACUACGUGCCAGCAGCCGCGGCAAUACGUAGGGGGCAAGCGUUAUCCGGAUUUACUGGGUGUAAAGGGAGCGUAGACGGCAAUACGAGUCGGAAGUGAAAUACCCGGGCUCAACCUGGGAAUUGCUUUGGAAACUGUAUGGCUGGAGUGCUGGAGAG
rnacentral:rRNA from 1 species